UACAGAGGGUGCAAGCGUUGUUCGGAAUUAUUGGGCGUAAAGAGCUCGUAGGCGGCUUGUCGCGUCGGCUGUGAAAACCUGGGGCUCAACCCCGGGCCUGCAGCCGAUACGGGCAGCUAGAAUUCGGUAGGGGAGACUGGAAUUCCUGGUGUAGCGGUGAAAUGCGCAGAUAUCAGGAGGAACACCGGUGGCGAAGGCGGGUCUCU
rnacentral:rRNA from 1 species